rnacentral:lncRNA from 1 species
UUGUGUAAAUUCCUUAGGUCAAUCCUUAGGAAUGAAUGAAUGACGAGUAGUUGAAUUCCUAGGGUAAAAUCCUAAGAAAGAUAAUAGGGAUGAGUAAUUGAGUUGAUUGUUUGAUGGUUGAAUAUAAUAAUUAUAUUAUUGUGGGUUGAAAACCCUAUAUGCUCACCAGGCUCCCAAGCCUGACCCACUCAGUUUUCUUUGCAUUACAGGUAAUGGCACAAGAGUAUAAGUUGGUGGACUUGACGAGAGAUUUUGGAUUAUAGGCCAGUAGUUAUGAAUAACUGUUGUAAGGUCUAUUUUAUAUUGUUUAUGCUUUUGGUCUGUAUCGGAACAUGACAUCCCGAGGUUUUAUUAUUUAAUGAAAAUACAUUCUCUUUGAGAAACGUUUUGAUAAAUGGUUAUCAUAUUUUAUUUUGGGAACAAAUUCCGCAACCGUUUUCUUUAAACGAUCACUCUGAUUUAUAAAACAAAGCAUAAACAAAUCGGUCUUUUCUGGCCGUGAAAAUGGGGAUGUCACAGUUGGUAUCAGAGCAUUAGUUUAAGCGAACUAGGAAUUUGUAGGAAAUUUCUAGACUUAAACUUAGAAUGCUAAGUAAUGAUUGUGAGGAGUGUGUCUAAAAUAUGUUAGGUAGUACACCUAAAUUGACACAAGCACUAGUUUAUUUUAGGAAUGAUGCCUAAAAUGCUUUUAUGUGCUAAUUGUUUUGUGUGAUAGCUAAAUUGAUGCUAUUAUUUGUUCGGAUCUAUGGUCUGUUGCCGACCGGAUCUGGAAACCUUAUGUGUUUAGGAUUCUAAGCGUACGUCUACGAUAUUAGAACUAGCAUGUAAACGUUUCGGAGUGAUAAGGGCGAUGUGAAUAUCUAUCGUGAUUGAGGAUAUAAUUUCACCUUAUUUGGUGUGUAGAUCAAAAAUGGUGAGAACAAGAAGUGGAGUUGGAAAUGCUGAUGAAAACAGGAAUCAACCACCAGUGAUUGAGCAAAUACCUGUCGUAGCAGCAGCACCUGAGCCAAUAACCAUGGCUGGUGUGCAAAUGAUGAUUCAGACGAUGUUGGAUCGUCAGAUGGAUGAAACUAGACGGUUGCUUCAGCAGAAUCGUGAAGAACUGUCAAUUCGAGUGGAAGAGCCUGAAUUAAAUGAAGGGCACUCGGAAGGUGGAAACUUCAGUGGGUCUGUUGGUCAAGCCAACCCACCGAUAGUUAGGCAAAACAACCAGAAUGGAAGGAACGAUGGAAUGGGAUGCAAGUAUAAGGAUUUUCUGACUUGCAAACCAUCGACCUUCACUGGAAAGGAAGAUCCGAUCGGAGUUAUGGAUUGGAUAUCGGAAAUGGAGCUAGCCUUCAUGACUUGUGGCUGCAGAGGCAAGUUGCAGACUACCUAUGCAGUGCGUCAGUUCAGGGGUGGGGCUGUUCGUUGGUGGAACACUUUGGGGAAGAUCCUAAGUCCUAAUGAGCCACUGCAACUGACCUGGGCAGAGUUCUUGGUGCAAUUCAAGCGCAAGUUCUGCUCUGCUCAAAAUCUAUUGGAGUUGGAGAAUAAGUUUCUGAUAUUGAAGAAAGGCAGCAUGUCAGUGGAUGAAUACACUAAUGCUUUCACAGACAAGAUGGAGUUUGCUUUACGCAUCGUUCCAGACGAACUGACAAAAGUCGAUCGGUAUGCCAAGGGACUCCCUUGGGAGUAUGCGGUGCCAGUGCGUCAGGCACCUACUCUAGAGGCAGCUAUUUGGGCUGCCAAGUCUGUUGAGAAUAUGAUCAAGGGGAGGACUGACAGUAAGGUUGAAGUUGGUGAGAAGAGAAAGUUAGAAGGAACUUCAGGUUCUAAUGAGAAAAGAAAAUCCUCGAAGUCUGGAGGAGGAGGAGGAAGGCAUGAGGCAAGGUGGUGCGAUAAGUGCAAGAAGAAGCACUCAGGAAAAUGUGGCAUGGAGGUGACAUGUUUCAAGUGUGGAAAGCAUGGGCAUUACACCAAUGAAUGUAUAUUCAACAAAAAGGUGUGUUACGAAUGUAACGAAGAGGGGCACUUCAAGCAAGACUGCCCAAGGAAAAAUCAAACAGCAAGGCUAGAGGCGCCGCCAAAGCUAAAGGCAAGAGCAUUUCAAAUGAUCCUUGAUGAAGCAGAUGGCAAUGCAAGGAAUCAGGAAUAAGGAUCUUAUAUCUAAAGAUCAAGUUAUAAAGUAGCGAUAUGAAAAGUAACAUGUGGUGUAGCCUAUUAGAGGCAUAGUAUAGGGUGAACUUGAACUUUUGUGUAACCGUUUCAAGGAAUUAAUAUAAACCCUAGUUUUGCUAACUGAUGUGUUGAAUGAUUGUCUGAUUUUCUUGUAUGGUGACUUGGUCGACUACGAGACAAUACUUGGGACGAGUAUGAGUAGGUGUGAAAGGUAGUAGAUGCAUAUACUACCGGAAGCACAGGACUCGCACUUGGAUCAGGGAAAGUCACAAGGUUACCAAGAAACUAGUGAUUGAUUCCAUUUUAUUCUGGUAUGUCAUUACCAUUGUUUCGGUAAUGACUAGUAAGAUGGUUCUUGUUCCGACCCUAGUGGUCAUAUUUAAAUUUGAGUUCGACUACGAGGAGUAUGUUACGUGGUCUAGAGGACCAAGUUAGAUGUAACAUCUGACUUAAGUCAGAAGGUUGAAGUUAAUGCGAUUGAUAGUGUCGCGCUCGUUGUUAAAAGAAGUUUGUAGGUAGAAAUGCUACAUGCUGAAAUGUGAUUAUAUCACAUUAGAAUAUGAAGGAAGGUAUAUUCCAUUUUGGAAUUUAACUCUAAGAGACCUGAGUCUAAGCAUUGCAUCAUUCGAUGAGAGGUCAGUAGAGCACGACCCAUCGGUUUGUUACAAUAGAUAAAGGAAAGUAUUUAUCCUGAGAAGAAGAAGGAGUCCAUAAUAACGACUUAUUUGGUAACUCGAGGGUUACGAUUGAAAGUACAACAUAGUACGAUAAGCAGAUGCAAGAUUGGGCAUCGUCUGCGGUCAAGAAAGCCAAAGAGUUAAAUACUCUUUCGAGGAAACAUAGAAUUUAAGGUUAUUACCAAGGAUGAAUAAAUAACGUGUGGAAUCAUUAUGCAAGUCCUAUUUUGUUGAUGAUUCCGAGAUGUAAUCAUCCUAAGGGGGAGAUAAUUGUAACGCACGUAGAUCAGGGCUAGUCAAUUUAGAGACAAUAGGCGUCAAAAUUGACUUUUUUAUGGAAGAUUAUCUAGAAGGAUUAAUCUUAACCGAUUUGUAGUAUAUGUUACAAGGUUUCCGUGCAUAUAAAGAACGCCAAAAUCCGAGUUAUAACGAAGAAGUUAUGACAUGUCGAAGUUUCGCGACAGAACCGGCACGACACAACGCGGCGUAAAAAGUUAAUUUACGUUAGAGCAAUGUUUAGCCUUAGCAAUGUAAAUGAAAGUCAUAGAAUACGUUAAACCGUGAGCAUGCAUAGAAAGAACGUCCAAAUCUGACUUCGUAUGAGGAAGUUAUGAUUUUUCUAAGUUUCGACUUAGCGAUAUGCAGCCCGAAAUACUCGAUUUGAGAUCGAGCGGUUUUUAGCCGAAGCAAUCUAAACGAGAAUCGAAGAUCUCGUUGUUGGUAUCGAAGCGAUAAAAAGUUAGGCGAGAACGGACGUCAAUCGAAGAAGUUAUGAAUUUAUAACGAAAUUUUCUGUCCCGGCCUAUUAAAAAUAAAUAAUAAAAAUAAAUUCAAAAUUAGCCGACGAAGUUUAAACGAAAGUUGUAGAGCGUAGUCUCACCUACGCGUGGAUAUAAAGAACGUCGAAAAUGGAGUUCGUAUGAAGGAGAUAUGAAUUUUUCGAAGUUUAUUAAAUAAUUAAUAAUUAAAUUUAAUUAUUCAAUCCGGCAUUAUCCGAAGGGGAGUCACCGGGCAUAUCCGAAGUAUGCCCAACGUACUGCUGUACGCCCCGCGUACAGCGAAGCAUGACGACCUUCGCACUCGAGUUCUUCGGAUGACGCAUGCAGUGACGAUUUCGGAGCCUUACGCCCCGCGUNCAGUACGCCCCGCGUACUCUGAGGCUCCAGCCUCCUAUAAAUAGGAUGCGAGGGUUCCGGGCUUAUUUGCUCAUUUCUCCUCGUUUUUGUGCUGAAGCUCUGCGUUUAAACCCACGAAGCCAUCCCGACACUCCGGAUCUCAUAUCCAAGUUAAGAAGGAAGUUUUACGCUCCCGAGAUCCCGUGAAGUGCGAUUCCCGGGCCGAAGCUCUGCCCGCGAGAAGUCCGGUUUUGUGGAGAUCUUCCAGAUCUACCAAAGAAUACUACUUCUGCAAGCGUAGUGUUGNUACGUGCUAUGUGUUUAUAUAUUGUUGUUUAUUUGAGAUGAGUAUGGAAUGAAUGUUUUAUAUAGUUUUUAAAUGAGUUAAACUGUAUAUGUAUUUUAUAUCUACAAAUAUGUUGGGUAGAACAUGGGUAGAUGAGAUAGUUGGUAUGUGAUAAAAUGAUGAGGUAUGAAAGAUGAUUAAGAAUGAUAUUGGCAGAUGCACCAAUUAGAGAAUGUCAUAAUGCUAGCAGAUGCGCUCAAGCAUAGUAUUGGUAGAUGCACCAAAGAGAAAGUGACAUAAUACUAGUAGAUGCACUUAAGUAUAGUAUUGGUAGAUGAAACUAAAAGAGCAUGCCUUAAUGCUAGCAGAUGCGCUUGAGAAUAAUAUUGGUAGAUGCACCAAGUAGUGAAUGUCGUGAUCUUGGCAGAUGCGCCAAAUAGAGAUUGUCAUAACAAUAGCAGAUGCGCUUAUAGGAUAAUCUUGGCAGAUGCGCUUAUAAGAUAAUGUCGGCAGAUGCGCCUAAAAGAGAAUGUCAUAAACCUGGCAGUCGCGCCUCAUAGUGUAUGACGUAAUCCUGGCAGAGGCGCUUAAAGGAUAAUGUUGGCAGAUGCGCCUUAUGUAGCAAUGGAAGUUUGUGCUAAUUCCUUAGGUCAAUCCUUAGGAAUGAAUGAAUGACGGGUAGUUGAAUUCCUAGGGUAAAAUCCUAAGAAAGAUAAUAGGGAUGGGUAAUUGAGUUGAUUGUUUGAUGGUUGAAUAUAAUAAUUGUAUUAUUGUGGGUUGAAAACCCUAUAUGCUCACCAGGCUCCCAAGCCUGACCCACUCAGUUUUCUUUGCAUUACAGGUAAUGGCACAAGAGUAUAAGUUGGUGGACUUGACGAGAGAUUUUGGAUUAUAGGCCAGUAGUUAUGAAUAACUGUUGUAAGGUCUAUUUUAUAUUGUUUAUGCUUUUGGUCUGUAUCGGAACAUGACAUCCCGAGGUUUUAUUAUUUAAUGAAAAUACAUUCUCUUUGAGAAACGUUUUGAUAAAUGGUUAUCAUAUUUUAUUUUGGGAACAAAUUUCGCAACUGUUUUCUUUAAAAGAUUACUCUGAUUUUAAAAACCAAGCAUAAACAAAUCGGUCUUUUCUGGCCGUGAAAAUGGGGAUGUCACAAUCUACAAGCCAACCCAUGACAGUCUUAAUUCAUAUCUACUUCCAACAUAUGACCGACUGUGGAAAAUUUGAAUAAUUUGAAAUAACAUAACAUAAUUAUUAUGGAAGUCAAAACAUGCAAAAUGAAAU